rnacentral:hammerhead_ribozyme from 1 species
AUCUAGCUGAGGAGUCCGAAAUAGGAUGAAACGCAUGUUCAGGAU